CAUGACUCCAAAAGAUGCAUUCAUUGUCACAUGCUGCACUUUGAUGCAAAUAUGAAUGAUUCUGUUGAAAACCAUCUGAAUAUAGAAGCCAAUUGGAUUCUCUGGGACUCAGGAUCUGAACUCUGGUUGGGUUUGUGCUGUUUUCUGAGCAAGAACAAAAGGGGAAAUCCUCACCCUGGAAUCUAAAUCUUUUACCUUCACAGAACCACAGGCAUUGUUCCUGUUAUUGUUGGACGAGAUGACUCAUGGGCAGUUUCAGCCUUAAAAUUUACUAGCAUAAAAAUUCAUGCAAACAU
rnacentral:lncRNA from 1 species